CUACGGGUGGCUGCAGUGGGGAAUAUUGCACAAUGGGGGAAACCCUGAUGCAGCGAUGCCGCGUGAACGAAGAAGGCUUUCGAGUCGUAAAGUUCUGUUCUUAGGGAAGAAAAUGACGGUACCUAAGGAGAAAGCACCGGCUAAAUACGUGCCAGCAGCCGCGGUAAUACGUAUGGUGCAAGCGUUGUCCGGAAUUACUGGGCGUAAAGAGUUCGUAGGCGGUCAAAUAAGUCAGAAGUGAAAGGCUACGGCUCAACCGUAGUAAGCUUUUGAAACUGUUUGACUUGAGUACUGGAGAGGAAAGCGGAAUUCCUAGUGUAGCGGUGAAAUGCGUAAAUAUUAGGAGGAACACCAGUUGCGAAGGCGGCUUUCUGGACAGUAACUGACGCUGAGGAGCGAAAGCGUGGGGGGCAAACAGGAUUAGAUACCCCUGUAGUC
rnacentral:rRNA from 1 species